UAGGGAAUCUUCCACAAUGGGCGCAAGCCUGAUGGAGCAACACCGCGUGAGUGAAGAAGGGUUUCGGCUCGUAAAGCUCUGUUGUUAAAAAAGAACGUGGGUAAGAGUAACUGUUUACCCAGUGACGGUAUUUAACCAGAAAGCCACGGCUAACUACGUGCCAA
rnacentral:rRNA from 1 species